UAUAUUACGGCAUCCUGUUUCUACUGAUCAUCCUUGAGAUGUUUCUAUUGGAGUCCACCUGUGGUAAAUUCAGUUGAUUGCACAUGAUUUGGAAAGGUACACUCCUGUCUAUAUAAGGUCCCACACGAACCAAACCAGAUCG